AGAGUUUGAUCAUGGCUCAGAACGAACGCUGGCGGCGUGGAUAAGACAUGCAAGUCGAGCGCUAAUUACAGGGUAGCAAUAUUCUGUAGUUGGAGCGGCGCAAGGGUGCGUAACACGUGGGUAAUCUGCCGUGAAGUCCGGGAUAACUCGCUGAAAGGCGAGCUAAUACCGAAUGUGAAAAUCGGAAGGCAUCUUUUGAUUUUCAAAGUUGGGGACCGUAAGGCCUGACGCUUCACGAUGAACCCGCGGCCUAUCAGCUAGUUGGUGAGGUAACGGCUCACCAAGGCUAAGACGGGUAGCUGGUCUGAGAGGACGACCAGCCACACUGGAACUGAGACACGGUCCAGACACCUACGGGUGGCAGCAGUCGAGAAUUUUUCACAAUGGGGGAAACCCUGAUGGAGCGACGCCGCGUGGGGGAUGAAUGGCUUCGGCCCGUAAACCCCUGUCAUUCGCGAACAAUGCUCAUGGUAUAACACAUCAUGAGUUGAUAGUAGCGGAAGAGGAAGGGACGGCUAACUCUGUGCCAGCAGCCGCGGUAAUACAGAGGUCCCAAGCGUUGUUCGGAUUUACUGGGCGUAAAGGGUGCGUAGGCGGUCGGGUAAGUCUGAUGUGAAAUCUCCGAGCUUAACUCGGAAAUGGCAUUGGAUACUAUUCGGCUGGAGAGUUGGAGGGGGGACUGGAAUACUUGGUGUAGCAGUGAAAUGCGUAGAUAUCAAGUGGAACACCAGUGGCGAAGGCGAGUCCCUGGACAACUUCUGACGCUGAGGCACGAAAGCUAGGGGAGCAAACAGGAUUAGAUACCCUAGUAGUCC
rnacentral:rRNA from 1 species